UACACCUGAAAUUAUCAAGAGUAAAGUAAGAAUCUCCAAUGGCAAUAUUUAUUCAUUUACAUUUACUAAAUAUAUUCCAACACCUAGGUUAUGAAAGAUUGAAAGGACACAUAUUUCGGUAUAAUUUUCACAGAAAAUUAACUGAAUGCAUGCCAUUCUUUAAGUUCUGAUAGAGUGAUAGCUUUAAUAGAUAAAUUUUGGAUUGCUUGAAAGAAUACACACCCAAGUUUAUUGAAUUGAACAAAGUGAAUUGUGUGACCAAGCAAAUGACAAUGAACAAAUUAACAAAUGAACAAUAAUUUGAUAAACAUAACAAAAUCUAGGCAGCCAUAAUAGAGUUGACGUUUUGACCAGCAUACAUGUUCUCUCAUCAGAAUUAUUUGGCAAAGUGCUCACCCAUGAUGAAAAAGGUUAUGGCCUAAUCAUUGGAAACAAAUCUGUAUCUAUCAAGAAAGCAAUGACAGUAGAAGUCUCUUUCAAUGCCAAAAAGGGGUAGAAACUAAAGCUACAAUUAGGUGGGGAGAACUAAAACUGCAAUUGAACUAAUGGAAUUCUUGAAUAAUUAUUCUGCAAAAUUGAUAAAGGCAUUUUUUAUUGCUUUACAAUUAGAGAAGUAUGUGUAAGGUAUAUCAGGCAUCUAAUUUUCAAAUUGUACUAAAGGGUUAUUGUUCUGCUGUAAUAGGAUAUUUUCUCAUUUUCUUUAUAUCUCAAAUAUAUGUGAAUUUCUAUUAUGCAUUCAUCAA